rnacentral:rRNA from 1 species
GACGUAGGGCGCGAGGGUUGUCCGGAUUUAUUGGGCGUAAAGAGCUCGUAGGCGGCUUGUUGCGUCGACCGUGAAAACCCGGGGCUCAACUUCGGGCUUGCGGUCGAUACGGGCGGGCUAGAGUUCGGUAGGGGAGACUGGAAUUCCUGGUGUAGCGGUGAAAUGCGCAGAUAUCAGGAGGAACACCGGUGGCGAAGGCGGGUCUCUGGGCCGAUACUGACGCUGAGGAGCGAAAGCGUGGGGAGCGAACAGG